AGCAACCGCCGGAGAACACCAAGAAGAAGAAGAAGUCAGGUGGUGUGUUUGUGCCGAAUGACGUCAUAGUAGGAACUCGGGGAGACAUUUUACUUCCUGAAAGCAACAGGAAAUACCAUAUCAUCUGUUUGUGCAUCAAUUCCAAUUCGAAAUGUCCUCUCACACUUUUCCUUUGAUUGCGGCUCAAGUAGAUGAUCAGGUUGGGAUGCCACCCAACAGUGUAAACAAAUGUGAUGUCUUUGAAAGUGAAUUAGCUGGGCUCUACACAGAAGGUGGUCGUGUAGAUCUUGACAAAGUUGCCAGUGUUGUACAAAAGUACAGCGGUACAAAAAUUCCCCUGAAAAAAAACAAGUGACAGUCUUCGAGUGUGUGGGCAGGAUGACACGGUCUAUGGUGGAAAUGAGGAACAGCUAGAAGCCUGGAAAGAUUUCUACCUACCAGAGAGAAUGGAAAUGGUGGUGAUUGGUGCGAUUGAUAGGUUCCAUUUUGUUACAUUUGGCCAGCAGUUAGUUCUCUUAUUGUGUGAAGAUGGAAAGAUCUUCGCCUAUGAAGAUGAAGAACUCCACCUCGUAGCAAGAAAUGUAAACGAACUGUUUGAAACUGGCCUUACCUUUCCUGGAUUAGAAUGCUACAAGAUGGGGGAAUGUUUCGAGGACGAUACAGAAGAAGAAUACAAUGAAAUCAUGGAAUCUGAUGAAAUGAAAAAAGAGGAACAGGAGUACCUCGAUUUCUAUGAAUCGAUGUGGAGUAAAGUACGGGAACUGUGUGGGUACUCAAAGCACUGAAUUUAAGGUGAUGCUCAAUGCAAGGUGAGGAGAAAAGCAUGGUCCAGCUCAAGAUGAAUUCAGAAACAAAAAGUGCUGGGAGAUGUUCGCAAAGAUAUGGAAAUUGUUCCUGUAGAUAAGAACUCAGAAAUGGUUAAAUUAAUUAGUUACAGAAAUGUCAGAGACCACUUUUAUGAUUUCUGAACAGUAAUGUUUGGGAAAAAACAAAAACAGUGGUCACUGACUUUUGCACAAUACUGUAUGUAUAUAUAUAUAUGUGUGUGUGUGUGUGUGUAUAUAUAAAUAAAGUAAUCUUGAACUUUUCGAUGGAUUUCACCUGCAUUCAAUUGAAAUAUUAUGUGAUAAAUCCACCUGUUCUUGCAAGGCUCCAGAGUUUGAUAGAAAACAAGAC